rnacentral:piRNA from 1 species
UGCUCGUGGCUCUAAGUUGUAAGAUGU